rnacentral:rRNA from 1 species
UACAGAGGGUGCGAGCGUUAAUCGGAGUUACUGGGCGUAAAGGGCGCGUAGGCGGUUAAUUGGGUAAGAUGUGAAAUCCCUGAGCUUAACUUAGGAAGUGCAUCUUAAACUACUUGACUAGAAUACAGUAGAGGGUAGCGGAAUUUCCGGUGUAGCGGUGAAAUGCGUAGAGAUCGGAAGGAACGUCAGUGGCGAAGGUGGCUACCUGGACUGAUAUUGACGCUGAGGCGCGAAAGCGUGGGGAGCAAACAGG